rnacentral:rRNA from 1 species
UUGAACGCUGGCGGCAGGCCUAACACAUGCAAGUCGAGCGCGAAAGUUCUUCGGAAUGAGUAAAGCGGCGGACGGGUGAGUAACGCGUGGGAAUCUGCCUAGUAGUGGGGGACAACAGCCGGAAACGGCUGCUAAUACCGCAUACGCCCUACGGGGGCACGGGGGGGAUCUUCGGACCUCUCGCUAUUAGAUGAGCCCGCGUCGGGUUAGCUAGUUGGUAGGGUAAAGGCCUACCAAGGCUACGAUCCGUAACUGGUCUGAGAGGAUGAGCAGUCACACUGGAACUGAGACGCGGUCCAGACGCCUACGGGAGGCAGCAGUGGGGAAUAUUGGACAUUGGGGGCAACCCUGAGCCAGCCAUGCCGCGUGUGUGAAGAAGGCCUUAGGGUUGUAAAGCACUUUCAGUGGGGAGAAAGGUUUGUCACCUAAUACGUGAUGAAAUUGAUGUUACCCACAGAAGAAGCACCGGCUAACUCCGUGCCAGCCGCCGCAGUAA